rnacentral:rRNA from 1 species
UACGUAGGGACCGAGCGUUGUCCGGAUUCAUUGGGCGUAAAGAGCUCGUAGGCGGCCUACUCAAGUCGAAUGUGAAACCUCGAGGCUUAACCUCGAGCCUGCAUUUGAUACGUGGGCGGCUAGAGUCUGGUAGGGGGAGUCUGGAAUUCCUGGUGUAGCGGUGGAAUGCGCAGAUAUCAGGAGGAACACCGGUGGCGAAGGCGGAUCUCUGGGCCUUACCUGACGCUGAGGCGCGAAAGCUAGGGGAGCGAACAGG